rnacentral:rRNA from 1 species
GAACGAGACCUUCGGGUCUAAUGGCGCACGGGUGCGUAACGCGUGGGAAUCUGCCCUUGGGUUCGGAAUAACAGUUAGAAAUGACUGCUAAUACCGGAUGAUGACGUAAGUCCAAAGAUUUAUCGCCCAAGGAUGAGCCCGCGUAGGAUUAGCUUGUUGGUGAGGUAAAAGCUCACCAAGGCGACGAUCCUUAGCUGGUCUGAGAGGAUGAUCAGCCACACUGGGACUGAGACACGGCCCAGACUCCUACGGAAGGCAGCAGUGGGGAAUAUUGGACAAUGGGCGAAAGCCUGAUCCAGCAAUGCCGCGUGAGUGAUGAAGGCCUUAGGGUUGUAAAGCUCUUUUACCCGGGAUGAUAAUGACAGUACCGGGAGAAUAAGCUCCGGCUAACUCCGUG